UACGUAGGGUGCGAGCGUUAAUCGGAAUUACUGGGCGUAAAGCGUGCGUAGGCGGUUCGUUAUGUCUGCUGUGAAAGCCCCGGGCUUAACCUGGGAAUGGCAGUGGAAACUGGCGGGCCUUGAGUGUGGCAGGAGGGGGGUGGAAUUCCGCGUGUAGCAGUGAAAUGCGUAGAGAUGCGGAGGAACACCGAUGGCGAAGGCAGCCCCCUGGGCUGACACUGACGCUGAGGCACGAAAGCGUGGGGAGCAAACAGG
rnacentral:rRNA from 1 species